GGGAUGCCGAUGGAACAUUUUAACAUCUCAAGUUGGUUCAUCCAACCAGAACAGUUUGGGCCUCGUUACGCUGACUUGGAUGUUGAGCCUACGUGCGAUGAAAGAGAUGAAGAUGAUGCUUUGCAGACUGACAUCUCGGAACAAACUAUUAAGAGCCUCUCCAGCUGGCGUCCAUGAGAAUAUCCCCAGUGUGUUGUGGAAGACCAGAUGCGCUCUUAGCUGCCUUUCAAGAUGCCAAAUCUUUCUCAACUUUCAUUGGUUUGGCGGGGCU
rnacentral:lncRNA from 1 species